UCCAACUCGGUAAUCAGGACUGAACACCGACGAGUCACCAUGGAGUUUGGACUCAGCUGCGUUUUCCUUCUUGCUGUAUUAAAAGGUGUCCAGUGUGAGGUGCAGCUGGUGGAGUCCGGGGGAGGCUUGGUGAAGCCUGGGGGGUCUCUGAGACUCACCUGUGUCGCCUCUGGAUUCACCUUUAGACACUACAGCAUGCACUGGGUCCGCCAGGCUCCAGGGAAGGGACUGGAGUGGGUCUCAGCCAUUAGCGAGAGUGGUGGUAGCACAUACUACGCAGACUCCGUGAAGGGCCGAUUCACCAUCUCCAGGGAAAACGCCAAGAACACACUGUAUCUGCAAACUGAAGUAGUUCGGGUGUGUGUAUUUUCUGGGUUGUGGAAAAAUGCGAGAACUGAGGACACGGCCACGUAUUACUGUGCGAGAGACACAGUGAGGGGACGUCAGUGGGAGCCCAGACAAGAACCUCCCUACAGGGACACACGGGACCACCAGGGGGCGCUCAGGACCCACCAAGUUCAAGGCUGA